GCUGUGAAUUUUUGCUCCCUCUCUGAGGGAGGCUGGUGAUCUUGACCUUACAUUCAAGAGAAAUGUUGGAGCUCUAUUCUACUCUUCAGGUAAAGGAUGAAAAACCUGCAGAUGAGAUGAUGUUCUUUCCUCCCACGCUGUCCAGUAGGCAAGAUUCCAGCCUGAAGAGGAGCACCCUGAACACAAGCUAGAGUCCUUGCUUGAUCCUGUAGUGGCUAGCCACUGAAACACUACUGAUCUCUACUUGAAGACAUUGGAGAAAGAAAAGCUGAACAAGACGUAUCUAAGGAAGAUGUAACAAGUGACAUGCUGAGGGGGGGGACUCAAUUGCCAUUGCUAUGCCUGCGGCAUCCUCACUUGUCUCCAGCUGCUUUCUCAGCAGGGAACACGGCUUUUUGUUUUGUGUCAUAUCUUCUAGCCCCGUGAUGGUCUCUUGGACACCAUAACGCAUCUCAAAUGACACAAGACACUUAUGAACAUAUACCUAAGCCCUAUUCAUUAUGUCUUUAAGAGAAUUUUGUAUUCAAGAGGGAUUCUCAAGGUACAGAAUGUGUAAGAAACCUUUGCUUGUGCACCAGUUCUUCUAGCUUUAAGAAAUAGACAUUUAGGGUAAAGUGAGUUUAAAAAAAUCCACAUGAAUUUCUUGGGCAAUUCUUUGACUUUUCAGUAUAGGAUUGCAGCAACUUCCUGGUUAGUGAGGGUUUCAUCUGAGUUUUUACUGUAAGCUUGGUGGUUGGUUUCUUAUCUGAAAUUUGCCAAAUAAUAACUAUUGUGCUGUAGUAAACAAGUCUAAAAAAUGGACUGAGAAAUAAUGCUAACUGGGCCCUACUUCUCCAGUCAAGGCUAUAUCCAGAAUCAUUAUUUUGCAUAAAGAAAUUCACCUAUCGAAUAUAAUUCAAUUUUCCAGGGAAAAUCAGUUCUGUGACCUAGAUAGUAAUAAACAGAACCCUGUGCAUGCAUUAGCCUCUGAACAACAGUUAAGGCCACAAUAAAUUUUGCACUUACAGAGAAACUGAAUCUACUCUUUCUCAUGAAAAAUUCAGACUUCAUG